AUCUAAAUAGCUUAUAUGUAGAGUAUAACAUUGAAGCUGUUAUGGAGAUAUUUUUAUCUUUAGGUA
rnacentral:tRNA from 1 species